CCGAGCCAAUUAAACAAGUACCACUCACUAAGGCUGGGUUCUCCUUCUUCAAGUUAAACCUUUCUGGAAAUAGCCUCAUAGACAUGCCCAGAGAGCCCAGGACCACCAGCCCAAGGAGAGGACCAUGGACCCCAAUCAUUAAUCAAGAAAAGAGAUGACCCAUGGAUACGCCCACAGGCCCACCUGAUGGAGCCAGAAGCUGGAAAGAACCCAGAUGUCCCUCAGUAGAGGAAUGAAUACAGAAAAUGUGGUACAUUUACACAAUGGAGUACUACUCAGCUAUUAAAAACAAUGACUUCAUAAAUGGAACUUGAAAAUAUCCUGAGUGAGGUGACCCA
rnacentral:lncRNA from 1 species